rnacentral:rRNA from 1 species
AUUGAACGCUGGCGGCAGGCUUAACACAUGCAAGUCGAGCGAGCGGCGGACGGGUGAGUAAUGUCUGGGCAACUGCCUGAUGGAGGGGGAUGACUACUGGAAACGGUAGCUAAUCCCGCAUACCAUCAGAUGUGCCCAGAGGGGAUUAGCUAGUCGGUGGGGUAAUGGCUCACCUAGGCGACGAUCCCUAGCUGGUCUGAGAGGAUGACCAGCCACACUGGAACUGAGACACGGUCCAGACUCCUACGGGAGGCAGCAGUGGGGAAUAUUGCACAAUGGGCGCAAGCCUGAUGCAGCCAUGCCGCGUGUGUGAAGAAGGCCUUCGGGUUGUAAAGCACUUUCAGCGGGGAGGCGUUACCCGCACAAGAAGCACCGGCUAACUCCGUGCCAGCAGCCGCGGUAAUAC